rnacentral:misc_RNA from 1 species
AAUGCAUAAAGCAGCUAGAGCAGGUAUGUCCAAUAGUCUUUAUAAGCAUUGUUGUUAUAGCGUGAUAACCAGGAGGCAAAAACAUUUAAGUAAAAGGGUUGCACUUUUUCCUAUUAGCUGAAGGUCUAGAAUCAUUCAUAAUAACUCAACUAUAUAUUCCCUGUAUUUCUCAAAAAGGCAUCAUAUAGUUCCAGUUAAAAAUUAGGACUCUGGUUGCCAAAAAAGUUGCCAAAAUUUUCUGGUCAACUCUAUUCCAUUGUCUGCAACCUAAGCCGCCUGUGUAUAUGUCUAUCUUCG